UACACCAAGGCCUCUCUCAGUCUCUCGUCUAUAACAUGAGGCCCAGGUCUGGAGUAGAAGUUUCUGUAAAGACCUACUACACCAAGGCCUCUCUCAGUCUCUAGUCUAUAACACAAGGCCCAGGUCUGGAGUAGAAGUUUCUGUAAAGACCUACUACACCAAGGCCUCUCUCAGUCUCUAGUCUAUAACACAAGGCCCAGGUCUGGAGUAGAAGUUUAUGUAAAGACCUACUACACCAAGGCCUCUCUCAGUCUCUAGUCUAUAACACGAGGCCCAGGUCUGGAGUAGAAGUUUAUGUAAAGACCUACUACACCAAGGCCUCUCUCAGUCUCUAGUCUAUAACACGAGGCCCAGGUCUGGAGUAGAAGUUUCUGUAAAGACCUAUUACACCAAGUCCUCUCUCAGUCUCUAGUCUAUAACACAAGGCCCAGGUCUGGAGUAGAAGUUUCUGUAAAGACCUACUACACCAAGGCCUUUCUCGGUCUCUAGUCUAUAACACGAUGCCCAGGUCUGGUAGCGAGCCAUCAUGUUAUCAAACACACUCAGCAGAUGUGGGCUGCUCCAAAUGAAAUAAUCCGUCAGGUAAAACUGAUUAGGGCCUGACUGUAGAGUAGAAAAAGCCCUGCAUCAGCACUCCCAGUGAGUCAACACCACACGGUUAAACAGAACAAAAACAGAAGACAGAGAUGGCUAAUCUAACAACCUCUGACAUUUAAAACUACUUCCAAAAUAACUAUUUUCUUUGCCAUUUCUGUUUUUCAGUCCCAACAUCAUAGCAAGGCUACACCUUUCCAAAUACUGUAAUGUGUAAACUGUAAUGUAAACAUAACACAUGGGAGGACAAAUAGGCAAAACAUACAGACACACACACACACGUAGGCACAGGCAGAGUAGACACACGCAGACACACACACACACACACACACACACACACACACACACACACACACACACACACACACACACACACACACACACACACACACACACACACACACACACACACGUAGGCACAGGCAGAGUAGACACACACAGACACACACACACACGUAGGCACAGGCAGAGUAGACACACGCAGACACACACACACACACACACACGUAGGCUCAGGCAGAGUAGACACACGCAGACACACACACGUAGGCACAGGCAGAGUAGACACACACACGUAGACACAGGCUGAGUAGACACACCCAGACACACACACAGGCAGA